GACGAACGCUGGCGGCGUGCCUAAUACAUGCAAGUCGAGCGGACAGAAGGGAGCUUGCUCCCGGAAGUUAGCGGCGGACGGGUGAGUAACACGUGGGCAACCUACCCUGUAGAUCGGGAUAACAUCGAGAAAUCGGUGCUAAUACCGGAUAAUCAUUUGAAGUGCAUGCUUCGAAUGUAAAAGAUGGCUCCGGCUAUCACUAAGGGAUGGGCCCGCGGCGCAUUAGCUAGUUGGUAAGGUAAUGGCUUACCAAGGCAACGAUGCGUAGCCGACCUGAGAGGGUGAUCGGCCACACUGGGACUGAGACACGGCCCAGACUCCUACGGGAGGCAGCAGUAGGGAAUCUUCCGCAAUGGACGAAGGUCUGACGGAGCAACGCCGCGUGAGUGAUGAAGGUUUUCGGAUCGUAAAGCUCUGUUGUUAGGGAAGAACAAGUGCCGUUUGAAUAAGGCGGCACCUUGACGGUACCUAACCAGAAAGCCACGGCUAACUACGUGCCAGCAGCCGCGGUAACAC
rnacentral:rRNA from 1 species